UGGGGAAUUUUGGACAAUGGGGGCAACCCUGAUCCAGCAAUGCCGCGUGAGUGAAGAAGGCCUUCGGGUUGUAAAGCUCUUUUGUCAGGGAAGAAACGGGACUGGCUAAUAUCCAGUCCUAAUGACGGUACCUGAAGAAUAAGCACCGGCUAACUACGUG
rnacentral:rRNA from 1 species